UUCAUGUAUGUGGUUCCUGUUACAGUAAUUACAGUCUUUCCUCUUUUUCUUCUUUACUUUUUUCUUUACUUCCCACUGAACUUGACACACUAAUAGGUUAUGAAUAAUUCUGUUUCAGUUUAGAUGGAAUUUAACCACAACGCCAGAGGCCAUUCUUCUUCCUCUUUAGUCGAGUGGUGAUUUCAGACCCAGCAGAGUCUGGGGACUCGGCUACCCCAAAACCACAUCUUUCACUUCGUCCCACCCAGAAACAGUUAACUGAGUACACCGCCUCAGACUGCUUUGAAAUAAAAGAUUUAAGUUUCUGGAUGGACUCUAAAACAACUUGGACUACAAAUAUUGAAACAUUUAAGUGUGUCAGGAAGGAUCUGUGGUGCAGUUGGAGAGCUCUAAGAACGCCCUGAGCCUUAUCCAAUAGCCAUUUCAGACACACUACUAAUAGUACAUUUAAUAUUUCUAUGAACUCUAGUGCUGUGAAACAUUUAGAAACGUCUUAAGCCAGGGGUGUCCAACCAGGCCUUGAGGACCAGUGUACUACACGUUACCAACCAACCUGCCAUUGAAGCUCCUUAUUGGCUAAACACACCUGAUCCAAGUAAUCAGCAGCAGAUAAGCCAGGAUUUCUGGAAGAAUCUGCAGGAACCCGGAUGGAUUUGGACACCCCUGUCUUAAGCCCUAGUCACAUGGACCCCUACAGCGGUUGACCCCAUUCAGCGAUUGACCCAUACAGGUGCUGCUGGUUUUUGGCUUGUUCGGGUCUGUGGAGGGUCAUGGAGAGGAGCACAAGUGUGUCUCACACCCUUAAGGCUCAGAAGGACACUUCAAGGGACGUCAUGAAAAUGGAACGCACCACUGAUGUGGUAAGUGUGAUGCGAUUUAUUCGUAAAGUUAACGUAAGUUGCACGCAUUUAUGGCAAACGGGUUAUGCUGUCCUUUGGUGUAAGUACUUUACCCUUAUGUGUUGCUCUGGUGUUCACUACGACCUGUUGCCCACAGCAUGCCCGUUUAAAAAAAGAAAAAAAAAGAUGCAUUUUCACAGACUCACUGAGUGCUCUAGUACCUUGUUAUUUCCUGUGGUUCACCUGUUUGUGUCGUACAGGUUUGACCAUUUUUCACCCACAGACGACUGUAUCCACCCAUAAGGGCAGUUGGGACUACAGCCUUAGAUGUUCAAAAGACGUGCUGAUGCUCAGUGAGAAAAGCUCAUUCCAAACUGAAAUCCCAACAAGAAAAGUUUCUGUGUGUCAGCGUACAGCAAUAACCUCCGGAACAGAGAAGUUUCUCCAGUCUUUAAAUGUCCUGAGCCAUCAGCUGCCUGCUGUCUGCAGGUCUUCACCGCAAACGCAUGCUCAGUAUUUCUCGCCAUCUUUGACCUGGCUGACUUUCAAAGGUUCCUCUGCAUGCACCUCAUGUUCCAGUCCAGGAUCCUGUUCUAAAAUAUACACUGACUGCUCGGAGGAAGAGGUCGCAGAGCGGAAGCGGUUACUCACACAUAACGGCAUCGGUUGGGUUAUAAACCGUAGCAUUCAUGGACUCCAAUCAAGACAGAGAAUGCAGGGAACCAAGAACGAUGACAGAAACCCGCAGAUAAGAUCAUCUGAGGCGUGGACGCUGAGCCAAAGGUCCACACAGAAACCCCCCCAUGCAAGAUGUCAGGUUUGCCGCCAUGAGUGUGAAGUCCCAUCCUGUUUGACAGUAAGUCACAUCCAUCAGAGCUGUGAGUGUAAAAAGAGGGAAAGGUUGUAACUUCUGUUAAAUAUUAAGACACGGGUAAUUAAAUUUUUAGCUGGGGCUCUAAUCUUUGAUGUUCAGCCUUCCAGAGGGGGGUCCACUGAGAAUCUCUGCACAGAAAUGGAACAUGUGACUGUGGGAGUAUUAAAGCUGUUUUGCUGCUGUUACUUAUUCACCAUUUGUGGGUCAGCUAAUGUUAGGAAUAUUUGUUGGAAUUAAUUUGCCACUUAAUGUGAAAUUAAAUAUUGAUGGUCGCUAUUAAGAUUGUUGCCAUUCCUCCGGUUGUGACCGUGCAGAGUCGACUUAAACAGCAGUUUAA